GUCCAGAUACACCUGAAAGAAGAAUGACUCAAGCUGGGUGUGUAAAGCUACACUUUGGAGGAUAGAGCUUCCCACAGGUGCAAUGGAACUCUCACUUCUCACUUGCUCAGAAAUUAUGAUCUGCAGUGUGAGUCUCCCCUGGUAAGGAAACAUGUCCAGCUCCUUGAAACAUGUUCUAGAGAAUAGCAUUCAUUACCCUCCCAUGAACUUAAACAUGCUUCUUGGCUCCUGUGCAUUUUAGGUGUUGAAAUUUCCAGGAUGCAAAACGAAGGGGCAAUUCAAAACAUUCAUCUCCACUUCUCAAAAUUUUUUUUCCCUUUCAACACAAAAUAUGCUUGGGUGGAAAUUCUUUUCUCUGAAUCUUCUGCUCAGCCUGAAAACUUGAUUUUGAUAGAAGAGGAAGAAUUUUGCCUGGUUUUCUUGGCUUGAUUGAUUUGGUGAGCUGAAAGAAAGACACUGCUUCAUCAGAAUUCAAACAACAGAAAACAUCUCCCAGACAUCGAGUCAUGAAUAUGGAAUGACUUCACCUGACUUCACUUGAAAUUCACUUAAUUUUCAACUCUGUUGGCUAUGAGAUUUCAAGAAGACUGGAUAUUGGAGAGAAUCAUAAUAAAUAAAAGGACAUCCAGGCCUCACACAAAAAUGGAUCAAUGAAUUGAAACUCACCAAAUCACCACCACCAGACAACGGGAUGCUGAGUCUCAUUCAUCAUGAUUGCUUCCUGAAGCCUUCUGAGUUCCUGUUUCCCUACACAUUGUUACAUUUCUUCCCUGCAACAUAAACCCCCAAUUUUAGUCCAUCAAGGUUAUAGAUUUGAGACUGAUCUCCCAUUUCCUUGGCUGCAACACCCAAUUAUAGCCUUCUUGGCAAUAAUUGUUGUCUCAGUGAUUGGCUUUCUUUGUGGCCAGCAGCAGGACCUAGACUGAACACCUGAUUUUCUGGUAACAGUAUAAUUUUUCUUCUUUUGUCUAUUGUGGUAGGUUACAUUGUUUGAUUUUUAAAUUAAACUGGCACUGCAUAGCUAGAGUAAAUGUGACUUUGUUGUGUUAAUUUUUAUAUGUUGUUGAAUUUGAUUUUCUUGUGUUAUGUUGAGAAUUUUACAUAUAUCUUUAUAAGAGAUAUUUGCUCGUAAUUAUCUUUUUGUAAAAUAUCUCUGUUUUUGCUAUGAAGGUUAUAAAAGUAAUUUUGGGAGUGCUCCCUAUUUUCUAUUAGAGAAUGAGGGAACUGGUACCAAUACUACCUUAAAUGUUCAAUAGAAUUCACAUUCGAAAUUAUCUAGGACUGGUUAUCUUUUGAGAAAAGUUGUUAAACAUUAUUCAGUGUCUUUAAUAGAUAUAGGCCUGUUCAGUUUAUCUAUUUCUCCCCAUGUGAUCAAUGGAAAUUUGUGUCUUUCACGUGAUUUUUCUAUUUCUUCUAAGUCAUCAACUUGUUGAUAUAAAGUUAUUCACAAUAUUCUUAUCCCUUCAAUGUUCAAAGAUUGUUAUUAAUAUUCAUGAAACUGGUAGUACUGAUCUUGCUUUCUUUUUUGAUAUUGUAUUGCACAUCUUUUCUCUUUUCAUGUUCAUUAAUUUGUGUGGAGGUUUAUCAAUUGUAUUCAUUUUAUUAAAGGACAAGUUUCUGGUUUUAUUAA
rnacentral:lncRNA from 1 species